rnacentral:rRNA from 1 species
AAGUCGUAACAAGGUCUCCGUUGGUGAACCAGCGGAGGGAUCAUUACAGAGUUGCAAAACUCCCAACCAUUGUGAACCUACCUCACCGUUGCUUCGGCGGGUGGCCCUCACCCGGGCCGCGCCGGCCCCCCGGGGCCGGCAACCCGUCAGAGGACCUACACUCUUAGUUAUCAUUGGCCUCUCUGAGUAACUUAUACAAUAAGUCAAAACUUUCAACAACGGAUCUCUUGGUUCUGGCAUCGAUGAAGAACGCAGCGAAAUGCGAUACGUAAUGUGAAUUGCAGAUUUCAGUGAAUCAUCGAAUCUUUGAACGCACCUUGCGCCCGCCAGUAUUCUGACGGGCAUGCCUGUUCGAGCGUCAUUUCAACCAUCAAGCCCUCGGCUUGCGUUGGAGCCCUGCGGCUGCCGCAGGCCCCUAAAUCCAGUGGCGGGCUCGUCGUCGUACCGAGUGCAGUAAACAUCCUCUCUCGAGACCCCGACGGGUGCCGGCCGUGAAACCCCCCCUUCUCAAGGUUGACCUCGGAUCAGGUAGGAAUACCCGCUGAACUUA